GAUGAACGCUGGCUACAGGCUUAACACAUGCAAGUCGAGGGGAAACGACGGGGAAGCUUGCUUCCCCGGGCGUCGACCGGCGCACGGGUGAGUAACGCGUAUCCAACCUGCCUCUGACUGAGGGAUAACCCGUCGAAAGUCGGCCUAAUACCUCAUGGCAUCGUCUGCGGGCAUCCAACGACGAUUAAAGAUUUCAUCGGUCAGGGAUGGGGAUGCGUCUGAUUAGCUUGUUGGCGGGGUAACGGCCCACCAAGGCUACGAUCAGUAGGGGUUCUGAGAGGAAGGUCCCCCACAUUGGAACUGAGACACGGUCCAAACUCCUACGGGAGGCAGCAGUGAGGAAUAUUGGUCAAUGGGCGGGAGCCUGAACCAGCCAAGUAGCGUGCAGGAUGACGGCCCUAUGGGGUGUAAACUGCUUUUAUGCGGGGAUAAAGUGAGGGACGUGUCCUUCAUUGCAGGUACCGCAUGAAUAAGGACCGGCUAAUUCCGUGC
rnacentral:rRNA from 1 species